GGGUGCCUGAAGCUUUCCGGUUUCAGGUUUACUCUGAGGUCUGGAAAGAUGAAGCCCCAGGAGAUAUUUCUAUCAACCCGAGGCCCCCUAUAUGCUGAACACAUGUAGAGUGCCUCUUACUGACCGUAAGGUCAAGGAGAAGAGAGCAAUG
rnacentral:antisense_RNA from 1 species